rnacentral:rRNA from 1 species
UGACGAGUGGCGAACGGGUGAGUAAUGCAUCGGAACGUACCCAGUCGUGGGGGAUAACGUAGCGAAAGUUACGCUAAUACCGCAUACGUCCUGAGGGAGAAAGCGGGGGACCGUAAGGCCUCGCGCGAUUGGAGCGGCCGAUGUCGGAUUAGCUAGUUGGUAGGGUAAAGGCCUACCAAGGCGACGAUCCGUAGCGGGUCUGAGAGGAUGAUCCGCCACACUGGAACUGAGACACGGUCCAG